rnacentral:rRNA from 1 species
AGUAGGGAGGAAGGUAGUGUAGUUAACACCUGCAUUAUUUGACGUUACCUACAGAAGAAGCACCGGCUAACUCCGUGCCAGCAGCCGCGGUAAUACGGAGGGGUGCGAGCGUUAAUCGGAAUUACUGGGCGUAAAGCGCAUGCAGGCGGCCUGUUAAGUCAGAUGUGAAAGCCCCGGGGCUUAACCUCGGAAUUGCAUUUGAAACUGGCAGGCUAGAGUCUUGUAGAGGGGGUAGAAUUUCAGGUGUAGCGGUGAAAUGCGUAGAGAUCUGAAGGAAUACCAGUGGCGAAGGCGGCCCCCUGGACAAAGACUGACGCUCAGAUGCGAAAGCGUGGGGAGCAAACAGGAUUAGAUACCCUGGUAG